rnacentral:rRNA from 1 species
UGGGAAAUAUUGCACAAUGGGCGAAAGCCUGAUGCAGCAACGCCGCGUGAGGGACGACGGCCUUCGGGUUGUAAACCUCUUUUAGCAAGGAAGAAGCGAAAGUGACGGUACUUGCAGAAAAAGCGCCGGCUAACUACGUGCCAGCAGCCGCGGUAAUACGUAGGGCGCAAGCGUUAUCCGGAAUUAUUGGGCGUAAAGAGCUCGUAGGCGGUUUGUCGCGUCUGCUGUGAAAACCCGAGGCUCAACCUCGGGCCUGCAGUGGGUACGGGCAGACUAGAGUGCGGUAGGGGAGAUUGGAACUCCUGGUGUAGCGGUGGAAUGCGCAGAUAUCAGGAAGAACACCGAUGGCGAAGGCAGAUCUCUGGGCCGUAACUGACGCUGAGGAGCGAAAGGGUGGGGAGCAAACAGGCUUAGAUACCCUGGUAGUCCACCCCGUAAACGUUGGGAACUAGUUGUGGGGUCCAUUCCACGGAUUCCGUGACGCAGCUAACGCAUUAAGUUCCCCGCCUGGGGAGUACGGCCGCAAGGCUAAAACUGCAAAUGAAUUGACGGGGUCAUAGCUGUUUCCU